rnacentral:rRNA from 1 species
GGGCUCACACAAGCGGUGGAGCAUGUGGCUCAAUUCGAAGCAACGCGAAGAACCUUACCCGGGUUUGACAUGGUUGGAUGUCUUCUGUGGAUAACUCAGAAGAUUACCCUUCGGGGUGAAACUUCCACAGGUGUUGCAUGGCUGUCGUCAGCUCGUGCUGUGAAGUGUCGGGUUAAGUCCCUUAACGAGCGAAACCCCUAUCGUUAGUUACCAUCAGGUCAUGCUGGGGACUCUAGCGAGACUGCCGGCGUUAAGCCGGAGGAAGGCGGGGAUGACGUCAAGUCAUCAUGGCCUUUAUGCCCGGGGAUGCACACGUGCUACAAUGGCAUGUACAAAGCGAUGCAAGACCGUGAGGUGGAGCAAAUCGCAAAAAACAUGCCCCAGUUCGGAUUGGAGUCUGCAAUUCGACUCCAUGAAGUUGGAAUCGCUAGUAAUCGCGCAUCAGCUACGGCGCGGUGAAUGUGUUCCUGAGCCUU